UUGUCUCAGUUGUAUGAAUAUAAAACAAUUAGUUAAGUAAUAUACAAUAAGGUAAAGUGAUUUAUAGAAUCCACAAUUGUAUAACAGAGAUGCUCAGACAUUGACCAUCAUGAGCUAUUUCUGAAAGAUCUUCAUGUUUUAUGUAAAAUGGGAAGUUAUCAUUAUACACUUCAAACACACUAGCAUCCCACGGAACCUGCAAUGGCUUGAGGAAAAGUUGCAGAAUGGUCAAUGUCAUGAGGUACAAGGGAUCGAUGUCAGGAUCUAGCAUAUCUAUAGGUUUCGUCAGUCCCUCAACAACAUGUUUAUCCUACAUGUUCUGAAAAAGGCUUUACAAAAUGUGUA
rnacentral:lncRNA from 1 species